UGCGUAGGUUGUUUAUUAAGUUAUCUGUGAAAUUCCUGGGCUUAACCUGGGGUGGUCAGAUGAUACUGGUAGACUAGAGUAUAGGAGAGGGUAGUGGAAUUUCCGGUGUAGCGGUGAAAUGCGUAGAGAUCGGAAGGAACACCAGUGGCGAAGGCGGCUACCUGGCCUAAUACUGACACUGAGGCACGAGAGCGUGGGUAGCAAACA
rnacentral:rRNA from 1 species